UCGGGUGGUCGUAGCGAAGGGGUCACACCUGUUCCCAUCCCGAACACAGUAGUUAAGCCCUUCAGCCCCGAUGGUACUGCGUGGGAGACUGCGUGGGAGAGUAGGGCGCCGCCCGAA
rnacentral:rRNA from 1 species